CUGCCCUCAAGCCCGGCUUGUGUGUUGGGCCCCGUCCCCCGAUCCCGGGGGACAGGCCCGAAAGGCAGCGGCGGCACCGCGUCCGGUCCUCGAGCGUAUGGGGCUUUGUCACCCGCUCUGUAGGCCCGGCCGGCGCCUGCCACCAACCCAAAUUUUUUUAUCCAGG
rnacentral:misc_RNA from 1 species